GGUGGCUGGUUGGCCCCCGCGGGUUUGGUACGGGCUCCAUUCGGGACAAGGACUGCACACGGAGGAGAAGAUGGACCCUGAAACUAAAGACAUCUGUAAACUUUUAUCCUAUUUCCAUUUAUGUAUUAUGUGUCUAUUCAUGUCUGAUUUUGUGUUUUCAUUAUUAUUUCUGAAAUAGGUCUCAUGGGAAAGUAUUUUGCUCCACGAUGUUUCGAGGGUAGGUCUGGAAUUCCGCUAGUUCUGAACUAUUCGGGAUUGGUAAAAGUUCACUACUAGCAGAACUCAGAUUUGCUCCCGACUACCGCCGAGAACCUCCAUGUGCCACCGGGAGCAGGUGGGAACGUUUGUGCUCCACCUGAACAGCAGCUGGUCUCCUGCACUAAUUACUCUGGUGUAAAGUGAACCGAGCGUUGCUACUCUUCACGUUCACUUCACAUCAGUUGACCCGUGGCGGCCCGCAAGCCGGCGGCAAAGGUGUCUGUUGAUUUGGCCGAUUGAUUUUCAUCUGUUCUCCCGCAGCACAACAGGCAGGCAACGCGUAACCAGCCAGUCAUGGCUUUCAGAUCUGAAACGGCUUCGACUGACGUGUUGAGAUGUAUUGUGUUUGGUAGAUGUUAUAUAAUAAUGAACAAAGAUUGGUUACACUACUGAGGCAAAUACUUUGUGAAAUGUGAAAAAACGUGUAACUACCGAGAUUAAUGGGUUAUUAUUAACCCAUUAUUCACUUAAUCCGCUUAAGAUAAUGGUCACACAGCACAACAAUAUAUCUUGUUUCUGUGCACUUCUAUUAUGUGUAACAAUAGAUGGCAAGAUGUGUGCGUGUUCGUCUGCCAAAGUAU